UACGUAGGGUGCGAGCGUUAAUCGGAAUUACUGGGCGUAAAGCGUGCGCAGGCGGUGAUGUAAGACAGGUGUGAAAUCCCGGGGCUCAACCUCGGAACUGCAUUUGUGACUGCAUCGCUGGAGUGCGGCAGAGGGGGAUGGAAUUCCGCGUGUAGCAGUGAAAUGCGUAGAUAUCGGGAGGAACACCGGCGGCGAAGGCGGCGAUCUGGGUCGAUACUGACGCUGAGGUGCGAAAGCGUGGGGAGCAAACAGG
rnacentral:rRNA from 1 species